rnacentral:rRNA from 1 species
AUUGAACGCUGGCGGCAGGCCUAACACAUGCAAGUCGAACGAGUGGCGGACGGGUGAGUAAUGUCUGGGAAACUGCCCUAUGGAGGGGGAUAACUACUGGAAACUGUAGCUAAUACCGCAUACCAUCGGAUGUGCCCAGGUGGGAUUAGGUAGUUGGUGGGGUAACGGCUCACCUAGGCGACGAUCUCUAGCUGGUCUGAGAGGAUGACCAGCCACACUGGAACUGAGACACGGCCCGGACUCCUACGGGAGGCAGCAGUGGGGAAUAUUGCACAAUGGGUGCAACCCUGAUGCAGCCAUGCCGCGUGUAUGAAGAAGGCCUUCGGGUUGUAAAGUUCUUUCAGCGAGGAGGCGUUAAUCGCAGAAGAAGCACCGGCUAACUCCGUGCCAGCAGCCGCGGUAAUUC